GACUAUCUUAUGUCGACAUAUUGAAAGACUGGGAGAUCUCGCCACGCGAUCUGAAGGUGCUGAACAAGAAUCUAGGAGCUGGUCAGUUUGGAGUCGUGAAACAAGGCUUGUAUACACCUCAAGAUUGCGAACCAGAGAAAGUUGCCAUAAAAAUGUUGAGAGAGAACUCGUCGCAGUCGGAAUUAUCGAAUCUGCUGGCUGAAAUAAAGAUCUUGAAAGAAGCCAACAAGGAACAACACCCAAAUAUCAUACGAUUUGUCGGGAGCUGUUUGUUAGAAGGAAAACUUCUGAUGGUAACUGAGUUUUGUCCAGGAGGAAAUCUACGAACAUUUCUAAUCAAGAGUAGAGUUAAUGAUAACUCGACAGAUUCCC